rnacentral:lncRNA from 9 species
GAAAAAACCAAGAGGCAUAGAGAAGAAGCUGUGAACCAGUUCCAAAGCCAGUGUGAGAAGCAAAAGAGAAUGACUGGUUGAAGCCUAAGCCAAUUACCUCCUAUCCAAAAUGGAAUAUGCCCAGGGUGGUGUGAGACUGGUACCAAGAUCAAAGCAUGAGGUGGUGUUCAAAAAAAAAAAAAAUCAGGAAUCAACAUGCCAGAUGACAGACAGACAUUUGCCCAGUGGGCAGGAAGGCACAUCUCUGCAGCAAUCCAGUGACAUAACCCCGGGCAAGAGCAACAUAACCUGGCAGGAUCAGUCAUCACUCUGCGUCCACUUCUUCCUACAUUUUGGUCCCCUGCUUCUCUGUUUCCCCAAGCUCUGAUUUGCAGCUUCUUUCCUGCCUCAGCUCAUAGCACCUUCCAGUGACCUCCAAGUAAUUAAAUCUGGCUGCCACUCAAGAUCCUGCUUUGCAGAUGAUGAACUAAGCAACACUCCCUCAAUGCUUUCUAGGACUAAACCUGCACACAUUCUGGCUUCCCCCUCUGCCCAGCUGGCCUUGUGCCAGACAUAACAAUAGGAAAAAGUCUCCCAAAUUCCAAACACCACCUCUGAAACCAGAUUUUAGAAAAAAAGCCUGAGUAUCAUCUUAGAGCUGACUGAACAAUAAGAAAAUUUCCCCAGAUGAUAUUCCUAGCUUCUUCCUCCCUCUCCUCCACCCGCACCCACCCCCAUAUUACCUGGAAGCAUAGCCAGGGUCUACCAUGGCAGCCUGCCCAUCUGCUCAACAGAACUGCCUGAAACAGAAAAUAAAUCCUCUGCUCAUAUGGUUGACAAGCUGGAUGACUAAUUGCAAAGAAGACCAGUAAUUUAUUGGAAUAGAAAUUGAGGUCAUUUAGGCAGGAUUUAAAUACUUUUCUCCUAGCCAGUUUUUCAAAUUGACUUAAAGAAAUGUUGCUCUCUAACAAGCUGGAAGUGCGUCAAUGCCCUCAUCUGACUCCACUCCGUUCUUUUAGGGGGCCCUAUGCUCUCCCACCAUUUCUCCACAAGUUAACUGAAUACCAGGUAUUCAUGCUACACAUUACACAGCAUUUUUUGCACUUAUAUUAAUUUCUCUUCAUGAUAUUCUGUUUGAAAGGAAAAAUAACUCAACCAAAAAGACCAGGAUUCACAGUCAAAAGGGAUAAACUAAUGUCUCAGUUUGUCAUUUAAUAGUCAUGCCUUUGGGCCAGUAACCUCACUGCCCUGGAUUGCAAUAUCUAUAAAACUGGGUAACACUGGUUCAGCACACUUCCCAGGAAUGUUGUGAGGUCAACUGAGAUAUAAAGAUAACACUCAUGUGGAUAUGAAAAUUAUAAACUCUCAUAACGCUUAGCUAUUGUGGAAGAGAACAAAGUGUUAUUUCCUAAUCCAAGGACCACAAGCAGGAAAUUCAUUGCAUAAAAUCAACUGGAAAUGUUUCUCUUUAUUUAGUCUGGGGUAAACACUUUUCAGAGUCCCAAUUUCCUCUCUUCCUUCUUUGCUCUUCAAUUGGAAUAAGGGGAUGAAAAUCUCUCUGAGCCUCACUUUUCUCAUCUGUAACAUGGGAGGAGACUCAGCAACUACUUUUUUUUUUUUUUUUUUUUUUUUUUUGUCUUUUUCUAGGGCUGCACCUGCGGCAUAUGGAGGUUCCCAUGCUAGGGGUUGAAUCGGAGCUACAGCACUGGCCUACACCAGAGCCACAGCAACACAGGAUCCGAGCCGCAUCUGUGACCUACACCACAGCUCACGGCAAUGCCGGAUCCUUAAUCCACUGAGCAAGGCCAGGAAUCAAACCCACAACCUCAUUGUUCCUAGUCGGAUUCGUUAACCACUUAGCCACGAUGGGAACUCCAGAGGGACUCAGUAGCUAUUAAUUCCAGCACUGGGAUAAGUGAUAAACACAGAGGAACAGGAAAGGUGCUUGGCAGUCAGGGAUGCUUUCCCUGAGGAUGUGACAUUUGGCUAAGCUGUGAAAGAGGAAGUACUAUAUGGUUAUGGAGCGGGUGUAGAAGAGGCAGGAAGCAGCUUGAUACCUGCUCACCCUUAGGCUAAGAGAACCUGAGUGGGUCCAGAAAGGGCCUGUAAAGAGCAGGUUGGAGAGACAGAAAGGGCUGGAUCACGCAGGGCCUGGCUUCUAGGCCUCACUAAGGACUUGGGACUUUAUCCCAACACCAGCGGGACAUCUGUACCUACCAUCAGAGGAAACUUCCAGAAGCACGGCCAAUCCUGCCAUUCCUCUGAGUAGGCACUUCUGGUGAUUAUACACUCAGAACAAAUUUCAGUCUCCUUAACCACGUGGUCCAGUUCCUUUAUGAUCAGGAACUAAUCUAUUCAGACAUUUCUCCCACUCUUCUAUGUGUGUCUUACUCUACUCAAAUGGACAGGUCCUAGGGAUUCACACGCUGUCCCACAAAGUGUCUUUUCCAACUGGUUCCUACCAUUUCCUCUGCCUGAAAUGCCCUCCUAUACCUCCUGUCCUUCUGCCUCUGGCAAGGACCUACCCAUAUUUUCUGACCUAGUUCUAAGCCCACCAUCUCUAAGAAUCCUUCCCAAAUCCUCAGAAAUAUACAGGGUCUCUGAGAGCUCCAGACCUGAACAAAACCCAGUACUUCUCCGAGCGUACUUACAAAGAACCGCCAUGUGUUGUAGUUAGUGGCAUAUUUUUCUUCUCUCUGUACGGGGCUCAUAAGCAAUUGGAUCACACGGGCCAUGCCCUAUCAUCUGUGUUCCGUGUGCCUAGUCCACAAUAGAGGUGAAUGAAUGUUAAAUGAGGUCAUGCUAAAUAAAAGCAAAAAUUAACCUCAUAGCUAAGCCCAGAGUAUUGCAUUUUAGCUCUUAAUUUUAUAGUCAUUGAUAGUAUCUCUACAAAAGUUAAACAGAAUCUGAGGAAUCAUCAUUCUUUAUUUGCAGCUAAUUUCUGAAAUAUAAUGUACCUAAUAAGAGUUUCACAUAUUUUUGCUGUCACACAAAAUAUUACCUACAAUAUGUUAGCAAUCUAUUGGGCCCUUCCACAAACUAAGAAAUUUUCUCUGGAAAAGAAAGGGUGUUUUCAACUGUUCUUGGUGAGUUAUUUAAGGAAAUCUAAAUUACAAAUAAUCAAAUUUACAUAAAUUAUAUAAAAUCCACCCUUAAG